AGAACUCGGGCUGCAAAUCUUACUGGUGAUCUCACUUACUUAAACCAUCUGAGGAAACAGGAGGGCUGGGAGAGAGAAGUCACUGUACAACUCUCUCUGAACAGUGACCAAAUGUUCAACCAGAUGCAUGAGGAAUGGGCUAAAUGCAAACCUCAACUCAACCCUUCUGGAAGAGGAGUAAAGGUUCUGGUGAUACUCAACUAUGGAAAUCCGGACACAGACAUGCGCAGAGGGAGAAGGCUAUGUGAGGAAGAAGGCAGUGGUUGGAGUGAUGAUUCUCCAAGCCUAGGAAGGCCAGUGACUGGCAGCAAAGCACCAGAAACGAGGGGAAGAAACAUGGAACCGAUUCCUUCUCAGGCCUCAGGAGGAACCAACCCAGACGAACCUUGAUCUCAGGCUCUAGCCUCUGUUGCAAUAAAACAUUUUAUUGUUGA
rnacentral:lncRNA from 10 species